rnacentral:rRNA from 1 species
GACGAACGCUGGCGGCAAGCUUAACACACGCAAGUCGAACGCCGUAGCAAUACGGAGUGGCAGACGGGUGAGUAACACGUGGGAACGUGCCUUUCGGUUCGGAACAACUGAGGGAAACUCCAGCUAAAACCGGAUACGCCCUUCGGGGGAAAGUUUUCGCCGAAAGAUCGGCACGCGUCGGAUUAGGUAGUGAGCGGGGUAAUGGCCCACCAAGCCGAUGAUCUGUAGCUGAUCUGAGAGGAAGAUCAGCCACACUGGGACUGAGACACGGCCCAGACUCCGACGGGAGGAAGAUGAGGGGAAUAGUGGACAAUGGACGCAAGCCUGAUCCAGCUGUGCCGCGUGGAUGAAGAAGGCCUUCGGGUUGUAAAGUCCUUACGGCGGGGAAGAUAAUGACGGUACCCGCAGAAGAAGCCCCGGCUAAUUUCGUGCCAGCCGCCGCGGUAAAAC